rnacentral:lncRNA from 1 species
UAAAUUGUCAGUAUUUUUAAAAUGAAAAUAAUUUAUAAAUCGUUAAUUAUCUACUAAUAGCAGAAAAUUAAGAAUAAGUUUACCGUGCGCAAGUCAAGACGCUUCCCUGGCAUGUCUGGAAGGAUUGUUGAAACAACACAGCGUAAACGAAUCACUGGAUGUGACGUCUUACAGAUACACCAUCGUGGUUAGGAGCUCAAGAAUUUUCUAGCGAUAAGGUAUGCGUGUUUUGUAAGAGGAGGAAGAAAUCCUGCAAGCAUUGGAUUGCAUUUUGAGAAAGAAAGUUUUUACGGAACCACCUAUUGGCAAUGGAGGACUCGAAGUCUCUUGUGAAAUCCGUACAAUCCAAACGCAAUAAGACUUGGAUAUUGUAGUUGACUAAACUUUCCUUGCCCGCACUCGAGCCUUACAUACUCAAUGCUCGCUUGCUAGUUUUAGCCACUAACGGAGAGGGGAAGUUCUGUAAGAGCUUAAGUCGGGAACGAUUUUCCGGACGGAUCAAGCCAAUUCACUGAGCUCUGUGAAGUCUUAAGCUGGGAGUGCAAGUCGGCGCCACAACAACUAUUGAGACCAGCAAAGUCGGCAGUCAUGGAAUAUUUUAUUUUUACGCGGCUUUCCAAUUUGCAACAAAAAUGUAGAUAUCGUUUUCUACUAAAUUUUUGUAAUGUUUGUUUUUGAGGUUAGUUGGCUGCCUCGCCUCCAUUUGUCAAAACGCACAUUCCAUGGUUGUUUUUUGUAUUGAAGUGCACCAAGUACUGCAAAGUUUGUGAUGUCCAUAGUCGUUAUAGCCGCUGGCGGACCAUAACUAUUGCCUAUAGAAAUUUACGCGUUGUCUUGGCGAAGAGUGCGCCGCAGAGUUUCCAAUAAGCUUUCACAAAGCAUACCAUUUUCCUUUCUUUAUUGGCGCGAUGUGCAUUUGCCGCGUGGCGUCCACAGACGUUAAUGACAUAUAUAUCCUCAUUGAGGAGUAUGCUGAGUUUUUCUUGUUAAAAUACCGAAUUCAAGUGAGCCUGAAAUGGAGUGCGGCUAAAUGUGCGCCUUAAUUGCUGUUGAGUUUGUGUAAAGGCUCUAGCUUUAGCAGCGGAAACCGACAAAAGCCUUGGCCGCUUAAUGCAAAUGCAAUUUAGACGAUCAUAAAGCUUAGUCCAAUUCAUAUCAUAAGCACUUUAAGCUACGUACAUAUGUAGUCAAACGCAUCGCCUGACAAAACGGAAGUUAGUUGCAUGCCACUUGUGUACGCCAAGGUUCAUAUUUACAAACGUUUAUGCGUUUGAGAUAACUAUAAAACCCAAAAUCCAUAUGGUAGCAGUUGUUGAAAGACAAAUGAAUUUCUUAAUUACUCUGUAGCCGACAAUUUACACCUGAUAUAUUGUCAGUGGCUGUCCAUUGGACUACUACGGGCUAGAGUGAUUUGUGUGGCUGGUAAAUGCACUUAAUCUGAUGCUGCCUAACAAGCUAACCGGUUGAGCUUCUAUUGUAGUUGGUCACGUUUAAGCUACUGGCGAACUCGCUGCAAGAAGCCUAAAACUUAUUCGAUUUCUGUGCGACUGAAGCCACAGUUUCCUGACAAGAAAAGUAAGAAAUGUUAGUGUUUUUCGAUUAGAUAUUUUAAAAUACAUACAUAUAUCUAGAGUAAAGUGCAUCCCGUGUGGUCAAGAUAUGAUUGACAUUAAAAUCUACGGCUAAAAUAAGCGGCCUAAUCGAUUGUAAAUAAGAAGCCUUCUUAGUAAAAGUUGUAUAACAAAAUUAGUUACGAACGUAAUUCUUUUUCUUUCGGACUUUAUCAUCGUAUAUAGCCCCUCUUAACUUCCGUUUGUCUCUCCCCUGUCAAUUUUUGUUCAACUCGCUUGAUUAUACUUUCCUAAACGUUUUCGUUAAAUGGCCGCAAAUAUGUUAUACUUCAAAAGUCUGAUAUCGAAGCGAUAAAUUCCACCGUACAGCAUAUCGAUAGAUUUUUCAUGGAAUACCUAAAACGGCUUUUCUACGGCGACGUGAAUUAUACUGUCUCGAAUUACCAUUGCGAAUUAAAUCCUUCACAUGGCACGCAAUUUGACAGUUCUCUGUUUCGCUGGUUUUUUUUUUUUGGUACCAGUUGAAAACUGAGGGUAAUGAA